CAUGAAGCUGGAAUCGCUAGUAAUCGCGGAUCAGAAUGCCGCGGUGAAUACGUUCCCGGGUCUUGUACACACCGCCCGUCACACCAUGGGAGUCGGAAAUGCCCGAAGUCUGUGACCCAACCAUUAAGGAGGGAGCAGGCCGAAGGCAGGUCGGAUGACUGGGGUGAAGUCGUAACAAGGUAAC
rnacentral:rRNA from 1 species